AUACGUAGGGGGCUAGCGUUAUCCGGAAUUACUGGGCGUAAAGGGUGCGUAGGUGGUUUCUUAAGUCAGAGUGAAAGGCUACGGCUCAACCGUAGUAAGCUCUUGAAACUGGGAAACUUGAGUGCAGGAGAGGAAAGUGGAAUUCCUAGUGUAGCGGUGAAAUGCGUAGAUAUUAGGAGGAAUACCAGUGGCGAAGGCGACUUUCUGGACUGUAACUGACACUGAGGCUCGAAAGCGUGGGGAGC
rnacentral:rRNA from 1 species